AUGAGUUUCAUCAGGCGCUUCUUGGAGGAUUUGGAUAUUGUUGAAUCCCAAAAGUCGCGACCGGUGCCGCUGUCUGCUGCUCCGAGAGCACGUACAUGGCUGCCGCCCGAGGGUGAAGCGGUGAAGUUUAACUGUGAUGGUGCAUUAUCAAUCCUGGGCGAUAAGGGAGCGGCAGCCGUGAUUUGUCGAGACAAGUCAGGGAAGUUUCUUGGAGCAUCAGCACUAGUCUUUGAGGGCUUGAUCGACCCGGCGAGUUUGGAGGCGCAUGCGUGCAGUGAGGCACUUGCCCUUGCUCGCGAUCUGAAUGUGCAGGAGUUGGUGAUCGCGUCUGAUUGUUUAGAACUGGUCUCAAAUAUCAACACACAAGCAUCACCCGUGUAUGCACCUAUUCUGCAAGAUAUACACAUUAGCAUGAACCUUUUCGCUUCAGUUAUUUUUCGUUUUGAGCGUAGAGAAAAUAAUUUCGAGGCCCACUCGGUUGCAAAAGGAGCUGCGUCUCUGCCGGUGGGCCGCCACGUGUGGCUAGGGAUCCUUCCUGAUAUUGCUUGUAUUCCGAAUGUGAUGAACUUUGAAUAA
rnacentral:rRNA from 1 species